rnacentral:piRNA from 1 species
UGGAUACUCGGCACAUCGAGGGGUGCCCCUGU